rnacentral:rRNA from 1 species
ACGUGUAGCAGUGAAAUGCGUAGAGAUGUGGAGGAACACCGAUGGCGAAGGCAGCCCCCUGGGAUAACACUGACGCUCAUGCACGAAAGCGUGGGGAGCAAACAGGAUUAGAUACCCUGGUAGUCCACGCCCUAAACGAUGUCAACUGGUUGUUGGAAGGGUAACCUUUUAGUAACGAAGCCAACGCGUGAAGUUGACCGCCUGGGGAGUACGGUCGCAAGAUUAAAACUCAAAGGAAUUGACGGGGACCCGCACAAGCGGUGGAUGAUGUGGUUUAAUUCGAUGCAACGCGAAAAACCUUACCUACACUUGACAUGCCAGAAAUCCUGCAGAGAUGUGGGAGUGCCGCAAGGAAUCUGGGCACAGGUGCUGCAUGGCUGUCGUCAGCUCGUGUCGUGAGAUGUUGGGUUAAGUCCCGCAACGAGCGCAACCCUUGUCACUAGCUGCUACAUUUAGUUGGGCACUCUAGUGAGACUGCCGGUGACAAACCGGAGGAAGGUGAGGAUGACGUCAAGUCCUCAUGGCCCUUAUGUGUAGGGCUACACACGUCAUACAAUGGUCGGUACAGAGGGUUGCCAACCCGCGAGGGGGAGCUAAUCUCACAAAGCCGAUCGUAGUCCGGAUCGCAGUCUGCAACUCGACUGCAUGAAGUCGGAAUCGCUAGUAAUCGUGGAUCAGCAUGUCUCGGUGAAUACGUUCCCGGGUCUUGUACACACCGCCCGUCACACCAUGGGAGUGGAAUCCGCCAGAAGUAGUUAGCCUAACCGCAAGGAGGGCGAUUACCACGGUAGGUGUCAUGACUGGGGUG